AACGAACGCUGGCGGCAUGCCUAACACAUGCAAGUCGAACGAGACCUUCGGGUCUAGUGGCGCACGGGUGCGUAACGCGUGGGAACCUGCCCUUAGGUUCGGAAUAACUCCCCGAAAGGGGUGCUAAUACCGGAUAAUGUCUUCGGACCAAAGAUUUAUCGCCUUUGGAUGGGCCCGCGUUGGAUUAGCUAGUUGGUAGGGUAAAAGCCUACCAAGGCGACGAUCCAUAGCUGGUCUGAGAGGAUGAUCAGCCACACUGGGACUGAGACACGGCCCAGACUCCUACGGGAGGCAGCAGUGGGGAAUAUUGGACAAUGGGCGAAAGCCUGAUCCAGCAAUGCCGCGUGAGUGAUGAAGGCCUUAGGGUUGUAAAGCUCUUCUACCCGGGGUGAUAAUGACAGUACCGGGAGAAUAAGCUCCGGCUAACUCCGUG
rnacentral:rRNA from 1 species